UAGGGAAUCUUCGGCAAUGGACGAAAGUCUGACCGAGCAACGCCGCGUGAGUGAAGAAGGUUUUCGGAUCGUAAAACUCUGUUGUUAGAGAAGAACAAGGACGUUAGUAACUGAACGUCCCCUGACGGUAUCUAACCAGAAAGCCACGGCUAACUACGUGCCAGCAGCCGCGGUAAUACGUAGGUGGCAAGCGUUGUCCGGAUUUAUUGGGCGUAAAGCGAGCGCAGGCGGUUUCUUAAGUCUGAUGUGAAAGCCCCCGGCUCAACCGGGGAUGGUCAUUUGAAACUGGGAGACUUGAGUGCAGAAGAGGAGAGUGGAAUUCCAUGUGUAGCGGUGAAAUGCGUAGAUAUAUGGAGGAACACCAGUGGCGAAGGCGGCUCUCUGGUCUGUAACUGACGCUGAGGCUCGAAAGCGUGGGGAGCAAACAGG
rnacentral:rRNA from 1 species